UACGUAGGUGACGAGCGUUAUCCGGAAUUACUGGGCGUAAAGCGCACGCAAGCGGUUGGACAAGUCUGGCGUGAAAUCUCCUGGCUUAACUAGGAGCGGUCGCUGGAAACUGUCGAGCUUGAGGCGAUGAGAGGGGUGCAGAAUUCCCGGUGUAGUGGUGGAAUGCGUAGAGAUCGGGAGGAAUACCAGUGGCGAAAGCGGCACCCUGGCGUCGUACUGACGCGCAUGUGCGAAAGCGUGGGGAGCGAACGGG
rnacentral:rRNA from 1 species